rnacentral:pre_miRNA from 14 species
UUUUGUAGUGGAAGACCCCCAGAGAGGGGAGACCCUUACUCAAGUCUUGGGAUGACAUGACUCCCCAAGAACUCACAUAAAACC